rnacentral:rRNA from 1 species
AACGAACGCUGGCGGCAUGCCUAACACAUGCAAGUCGAACGAGACCUUCGGGUCUAGUGGCGCACGGGUGCGUAACGCGUGGGAACCUGCCCUUAGGUUCGGAAUAACUCCCCGAAAGGGGUGCUAAUACCGGAUAAUGUCUUCGGACCAAAGAUUUAUCGCCUUUGGAUGGGCCCGCGUUGGAUUAGCUAGUUGGUAGGGUAAAAGCCUACCAAGGCGACGAUCCAUAGCUGGUCUGAGAGGAUGAUCAGCCACACUGGGACUGAGACACGGCCCAGACUCCUACGGGAGGCAGCAGUGGGGAAUAUUGGACAAUGGGCGAAAGCCUGAUCCAGCAAUGCCGCGUGAGUGAUGAAGGCCUUAGGGUUGUAAAGCUCUUUUACCCGGGAUGAUAAUGACAGUACUGGGAGAAUAAGCACCGGCUAACUCCGUG